CUACCUAGUUGAUGAGCAAAAAGUGUUUGUCAGCCUUAAGGCAAUCUUUUUAGAAAAGGAGUUCCUUGGUGAAGGGACUGUUGCCUCUAAAGUUGAACUUGAGGAAGUUCAACAAGUGGAAAAAUCGAUACAAGUAGUUGAACCUGAACUGAAUUUGGUUAGAUCAGAUCCGGAGCCCAUUGUUCUUGCACCCUUAAGG
rnacentral:lncRNA from 1 species